GCCGGGCGCGGUGGCUCACGCCUGUAAUCCCAGCUACUCGGGAGGCUGAGGCAGGAGAAUGGCGUGAACCCGGGAGGCGGAGCUUGCAGUGAGCCAAGAUUGCGCCACUGCACUCCAGCCUGGGUGACAGAGCCAGACUCUGUCUCAA
rnacentral:SRP_RNA from 1 species